rnacentral:piRNA from 1 species
CCCAGCUGUGUGACCUUGAGCAGG